GGGAGUGAAAUAGAACCUGAAACCCUGCACUUACAAGCUGUGGAAGCACAUUUCUUGUGUGACCGCGUACUUUUUGUAGAACGGGCCAACGAGUUACGUUAAGUAGCAAGGUUAAGCACUUAAGGUGCGGAGCCGUAGCGAAAGCGAGUUUUAACUGAGCGUUCAGUUACUUGACGUAGACCCGAAACCGGGCGACCUACCCAGGAGCAGGAUGAAGCGAAAGUAAAAUUUCGGGGAGGUCCGAACCCACGAGCGUUGAAA
rnacentral:rRNA from 1 species